GACGAACGCUGGCGGCGUGCUUAACACAUGCAAGUCGAGCGGUAAGGCCCUUUUGGGGGUACACGAGCGGCGAACGGGUGAGUAACACGUGGGUGACCUGCCCUCAGCUCUGGGAUAAGCCUGGGAAACUGGGUCUAAUACUGGAUAUGACCUUUCCUCGCAUGGGGGUUGGGUGGAAAGUUUUUUCGGCUGGGGAUGGGCCCGCGGCCUAUCAGCUUGUUGGUGGGGUGAUGGCCUACCAAGGCGACGACGGGUAGCCGGCCUGAGAGGGCGACCGGCCACACUGGGACUGAGACACGGCCCAGACUCCUACGGGAGGCAGCAGUGGGGAAUAUUGCGCAAUGGGCGGAAGCCUGACGCAGCGACGCCGC
rnacentral:rRNA from 1 species